AUUGAACGCUGGCGGCAUGCCUUACACAUGCAAGUCGAACGCGAAAGCGGGGGCAACCCUGCAAGUAGAGUGGCGAACGGGUGAGUAACACAUCGGAACGAACCCAGGAGUGGGGGACAACCUCGAGAAAUCGAGGCUAAUACCGCAUACGUCCUGAGGGAGAAAGCGGGGGAUCGCAAGACCUCGCGCUCAUGGAGCGGCCGAUGUCCGAGUAGCUAGUUGGCGGGGUAAGAGCCCACCAAGGCGACGAUCGGUAGCUGGUUUGAGAGAACGACCAGCCACACUGGGACUGAGACACGGCCCAGACUCCUACGGGAGGCAGCAGUGGGGAAUUUUGGACAACGGGGGCAACCCUGAUCCAGCCAUGCCGCGUGAGUGAAGAAGGCCUUCGGGUUGUAAAGCUCUUUCGGCCGGAACGAAAUCGGGUACGUGAAUAACGGAUCUGGAUGACGGUACUGGAAGAAGAAGCACCGGCUAACUACGUGCCAGCAGCCGCGGUAA
rnacentral:rRNA from 1 species